CAAUAGCGUAUAUUAAAGUUGUUGCAGUUAAAAAGCUCGUAGUUGGAUUUCUGGUAGGAGCGACCGUGCCGAACUUGAUUGUUCGAGUAUUGUGUUGUCUUCAGCCAUCCUCGUGGAGAACUUUUCUAACAUUAACUUGUUGGGAUUGGGACCCGCGUCGUUUACUGUGAAAAAAUUAGAGUGUUUAAAGCAGGCAUUGGCUUGAAUACAUUAGCAUGGAAUAAUAAGAUAGGACUUUGGUACUAUUUUGUUGGUUUGCAUACCAAAUUAAUGAUCAACAGGAACAGUUUGAGGAUAUUCGUAUGAACAUGUCAGAGGUGAAAUUCUUGGAUUUUGAUCAGACGAACUACUGCGAAAGCAUUUAUCAAGGAUGUUUUCAUUAA
rnacentral:rRNA from 1 species